rnacentral:lncRNA from 12 species
UGAUAAGAUGUGUCUUCUUAAUUGGGCCCUUGAUGCUUCUUGGAUCGGAGUUGUCAGAUUAGCUGGAAGAAGAGGCACUGCGUUGAGCCAGCUAGCUACCAGGAGACCAAUAGCUUUGUAACAACGAUAUUAAGUUAGAGAGGCCAAAUGGAGGGCAGCACCAGGCUCAGGUGCCAUAAUGGGAAGCUGAAUGCAGAGCUGUCAAUCACAGAGGAACAUUUGGAAACGCAGCAACCACAAAAAAGCUUUCCCUGACUUACCCCCUCUGCUCAACGGAGGAGAGAAGGAAGCUCAAAGAAAUCGUCUCGAGAGCAGUUCAGCAGCAUCAAAUGAAACACUGGUGGACUUGGCCAUCUGAGAAGAGUUUAUGGUGGAAACUCCAACGACAGCCAGAAAACAAGCCCAAAAGAUCAUUUCUCUGCCCCAUGAUGGAUGAAGAACAUGGACCCAAGGCAUCUCUUUCUAUGAAUGUGAGACAUGCAACAGCUCGGAAGGGACCCAGGCCCUUGUCAUGCAGCCUCAGCACUCCCCAGCUCCUGGGCCCGUGGCUUCCCCCCCGCCCCUCCCUCCCCUGGAGCCAUCAAGCCUCAGCAGCGCAGUCUCAUUCAUGCCCUGGGGCUCCCGCUCAAGACCAGGCGGGGACACCCU